rnacentral:lncRNA from 1 species
CUAUUUGUUUCUUUUCUUUAAUUUGAAGUCUAUGAGACUGUUGCAUUGGAGCCAGAAAUUAAGACGGAGUCUCGCUCGGUUGCCCAGGCUGGAGUGCGGUGGCACAAUCUCGGCUCACUGCAACCUCCGCCUCCCGGGUUCAAGCGAUCCUUCUGCUUCAGCCUCCCGAGUAGCUGGGACUACAGGGUGAAGCAUGAAUCUGCACAUGGGGAGGCUUCAGAGGACAACUGAGACAAGAAGCAGGAAGCUGAGAAAGGAGGACACCUCCCACACACACAUCUAGCAAAAGCUGGACAUUUCUGGUCAGUCAUCCUUAUGCAAAGACUUUCUGGAAGGAGCAGUUAUUCUUGGGUGAGCACUUAUGUAGCAUGAAAGAGGUUAACAUUAGCCCAGGGAAAUCCUUCAAAGUAAUUGAGGGGGAAGGAUACAUUAUUUAUGCAUUUGUUCCCUUCUCUAUCGACAGUAAGAAAUGAUUCAUGGCACCUGUCACAGUCCUAGGUAGUGACAGACACCAGCCUGCACUGUAGCUGAAAACCCCUGAGAAGCCACAGAUGUGCAGUCUUCCCAGCUUGACUACAUGCCCAAGUCUUCUGAACCUUAGUUUCCCAACCUAGGAAAUAAAAAUUGUGCCCUUUACCCCUCAUGAACCUUAUUGGGGUCUUAUAAGAUUGCUCCUGGUUGCCAUUUGGCCCACAGAUGGGUUUAGUUUGGUGGACAGUGUCCCGAAAGACUUACAAAUUCAGAUCUGACUUGUUCAUUUGUGUAGGGGAGAGUUGGUGGCACACAUCCUCUCUGUCACUGUAAGUAUGUUCCAAAUGUCACAUUAGGUCCACUGGCACGUGUAAGCCCUGUCUGGCAUUUGCCUGGUCCCUGCAGGCAUUUGGGUUGGCAGUAAACUUUCUUUUCUAACAGAUUUCUGGAAAUGUUUACAUGUAGCAUAUAAUAGAAUAAUAGAACCACAGAACUUCCACAGUAAAGCCUUCCUUCUUUUAUGUUCCAAAAGCUAAAAUGUACUAACAACCUCCAAAAGGCACUAUGACAUUGGAGUUUAAACUUUGUGGAGCAGGACUCAAAGCUGGACUUAGCUGCUUGCUAACUUUGACCUUGAGUGAAGAGUUAGCAGAUGAUUUAAAGUGUAAAGUAGAAAGAAUUCAUGCUGGUUAGCCCAUUAAAUACCCGUUAAUUAAGCUCUCCAAAAACGCCAUUCAAAAAUGUAUAUGAUAAUCAAAUAUUUAUUGCAAUGUUUCUUAAAAUAGUGAAAAAUUAGAAAACAUUAUAGGGGGCUAGUGUUAAAUCAUGGUGUAACCAGAAAUGAAACAUUAUGCAACCAUAAAAAGGAGUUCUGAAGAGUAGUUCCCGGCAUGAUAUAAUGUGAAAAAAAGCAAAAUACGAAAUUGUGCAAUUCUAAUUUUGCAAAAACUUUCAGCGUACACGACUAUCACUGUAUAAAGUCACAAAGUAGGAAUGGUGAUUGUAUCUUGGAGUGAUGAGAUUAUAAGUGAUUUUUAAUUUUCUUCACUAUGCUUUACUGCAAUUAAACAUUUACAAUUCAAUUUUAUUUAACAAAAAUAUAUAAAACUUCUCAAAUGGAGUAACUUCAGUACCAGACAUCCUCAACCUGACUGCUCUGGAGGUUAUUGUGCAGAGCAAUCUUUGACCAUAUGGUCACAGAUCCAGAAGCCAGACGUCUGUGGGGCUUUGCUCCUGAGACUGUGACCUUUGAUUCCUGCACUCCUCCUCUUGCCAUCUGACGCCGGUCUGCGCCUGUGACUGAGUGAAAAUCGUCAUAACUGUACUCGGAGGUUAACUCUGGCAUGACUGGGAUGGAAUCCCAGGCAACAUGCUGGAGGCAGGAAAGAAGGCCAGCCGGCAAGUCAGAACCAAACACCCUGGACGGCACCUUUCCUUACAAAUGCGGUUCACAGGACCCUUGGGGAUCCUCUGCGCACACUGAGGCAAGCAGCAAUGGAAGAAAUUAUCUUCCACUCCCUUCUUGUUGAAAAUGUCUGUUUUCCAGAAAUGAAUUACAGUAAUAGAUUAUGAAAAUUGUUUCCAUUGCCUACAUAACACAGCAG